rnacentral:lncRNA from 1 species
GCUUUUGGUGUUCCUCUGAGUAGCCUGACGCUGAGGUUGAUGGCCGAGCCGCAGAGUUCCGAGUGCCUGCUUUCUGGACUGUUUUAGGCCGAGUUGAAAAUGCAUCCAAGGACCGCCACACUUCCAACUUCAGAAAAAACUGUGUGGCCCGGGGAGUGCGUGCCCCGGAGAGGAAGAAGCGCGUAACUGCUGGCUCUUCUCGGAUCCACCUCAGUUACCCCUCCCCCCACUUGCGCUCCCCUGCCUCAGCCUUGUUUCCUUAAUCUCUCCUGGAGAUUUGGGCUUUGAAAGGGUGAGGGGAAGGUGGAAGAGAAAGACCAGAGCUGUGCCAGUUCCCUGGAGCCAUAAAGCAAGUUCGAAAUGGCGGGGUUAACGAAAACAGCCCCGUGGUUUAAAGUUGUAAAGUGAUCUUCAAAGGUGUGGUGGCAACACAAUUCAGAAUGCCCUCGGGAAAACUCAAAAAAUACUCAAAAAUUUCAAAAGUAUGUAAACGUUGGUCUUGGUAUUUUCUCUUAUACAAAUAAUAGUCCUAAAGUUUAAAAAUUUAAAUAAAAGAGGUU